AUUGAACGCUGGCGGCAGGCCUAACACAUGCAAGUCGAGCGAGCGGCGGACGGGUGAGUAAUGUAUGGGGAACUGCCCGAUGGAGGGGGAUAACUACUGGAAACGGUAGCUAAUACCGCAUACUAUCGGAUGUACCCAGAUGGGAUUAGCUAGUAGGUGAGGUAACGGCUCACCUAGGCGACGAUCCCUAGCUGGUCUGAGAGGAUGACCAGCCAAACUGGAACGGAGACAGGGUCCAGACUCCUACGGGAGGCAGCAGUGGGGAAUAUUGCACAAUGGGCGCAAGCCUGAUACAGCAAUGCCGCGUGUAUGAAGAAGGCCUUAGGGUUGUAAAGUACUUUCAGCCGGGAGGCGUUACCCACAGAAGAAGCACCGGCUAACUCCGUGCCAGCAGCCGCGGUAAUAC
rnacentral:rRNA from 1 species